GCCGCUGCGGCUCGGCUGCCGCCGCCGCUCCCGGGCUCUCGUGCCCUCCCUCAGUGACAGGCUCGUGCGCACGGGGGUGGGGAGCAGAGCAGAGGGGGGAUCUCUGCCCGUGCGGCGCCGCUCCGCUUGCGCCCCAGCAGCACCGCCGGGCGCACGGGCGGCUGCCUGGCUGUGAUCACUGACCGGGCCUGGGCGAGGGGCCGCCACCCCCGGCUAUACGGCAGAAACCCGAGAGGCAGGAGAGCCGGGCUAGCAGGAGCUGCGUGACACAGAGCGGCGUUUCUGAUGUAAAGAUUUCGUAGAAAAAAUCAAAGACGUUUCACUGCGACGAAGGUUGGUGAGACAUAAGGUAGUAAUCAACUAUCAAGAAAAUUACAGAUACAGCUGAUGUGGUCGGUUAAGUCUUAUUUCUUUCAAGGCUGACAAACUCUCAUGGGAGCAUUAGAGAAACAGGAUCACAGAAUCAUAGAAUACCUCAAGUUCAGAGAGAACCCAUAAGGAUCAUUGACUCCAAAUCUCUGCUCCUCACAGAACUACCUAAAACUAAACCAUAUGACUAAGAGCAUCACUCAGACAUUCCUUGAAUGCUGACAGGUUUGGUGCCAUGACCACAUUGCUGGGGAGCCCGUUGCAGUGAAUGACCACCCUCUCAGUGAAGAAUCUUUUCCUAAUGUCCAGUCUGAACAUUCUGUGAUGCAGCUUCAUUCCAUUUACUCCUGUCCUAUCACUGGUCACCAGAGAGAGGAGAUGAGCACCUCCUGCUCCUUUGCUCCUCUUGAGGAAGUUACAGACUGUGAUGAAGUCACCCCUCAGCCUUCUCUUCUCCAAGCUGAACAAACCAAGUGACCUCAGCUGCUCCUCAUAAGUCUUGCCUUUCAUCGUCUUGGUCACCUUCCUCUGGACACUCUCUAAUAGUUGAAUAUCUUUCUUAUAUUGAGGAUAAUAAUUGUUGCGGUUUAAACAAUGCUAUAAAUGUGAAAUCACUAGAGCUAAUUAGUACAGUGCUGUGAUACAAUGAGGGUGUUUUUUCUUAGGGUCCUAAUGGAACAGCUAGCUCCAUCUGCAUCGAAUCUUAUUUCUGGAAUAAUUGUAUCGACUUCAGUAGGCUGUGGUUAAGGAAAUUGGUCUUCUAGUUAUGGAAUUGUGUUUUAAAUGUAAAAAACUUACAAUUUUAGUCUAGUAAAAGUAGUUUCAAUACAAUCCAUUCAAUGUUAUCAAUUUGAGGAUGAUUUACUCCUGAAACCAAAGGUGAUGUGACGAAUAUGCCAGCCAACCCUGCCAAUCAGUAACAAAACCACUUUUAAUAUCUGUCAGAUAUUCAGAUAACAGACUGGUAAAUUAAGAAUGCACUACACAUAAGAAAAAGUUCACAAAAAAUGUUAUUCUUUUAGUAGAGCAUUAUAGUUCCAAUCUAACAUCAUGCACGAUCAGUAAAGCUAAAUUUCUAAAGCAAAACAUGCAGAAGUUAAAAUUCUUAAAGCAAAAAUAUCUUGGCUUAGUUGCACAUUUUUCAUUUUAAAGUAAAUAUGUUAACCAAAAUGGGACUAUAACAAGCUGUACUUUUAAAAUUUAGCUAACUGUACAUGAUGAUAGAGUUGUAUUUCCAGCCUACUUUACUAUGUAGUCUGAACUUACCCCCUAUUACUUUGUUGUGGGUUUUUUUAAGAUUUUACCAUUUUAUGAAGGUGUAGCACCUUGUACAACUUUUAACAAUUUAAGAAAACACACAUAAGAUGAUGAUGCUAGAAAAUGAAUAUGUUAAGGCUUUAUUCAAUUGUUAGUAUCUAACUGUACUAGUGGUAAUGUAGGCAGUAAUCACAUGUAGUCCAGCCAAAUUCAAAUAUACUAUUUAAUACCAUUUUUUGCAGACAGUCAAAACACUGAGGUGCUGCAAAAAGAGUAUCUUCUUCUUUUCUUGUGCUUUUCCACAAUUUUCUAUCCAGGAAAGUUCCAAACAAACUCUAUUCAAAAUUGAGUAUUAUGUACAGCGAUAAAUGUCUGCAAAAUAUUUUGGUGUCUGUGCUCCCAUUUCUACAAAAACAUACAUUAUUGUUAAUCAUAGUAAUCUGAAACGUCAUUGUUCUUUAAAUACUUGUUUCUUGAGCGGAUUUCUCAGAUGAAAAUAACUUUGCCAACAUGUAAAAAAUAUUGAUACCUCAAACUUUUGUAUAUGUCAAGUCUGACUGAAAAUAUUGUGUUAAUUAUCUUUUGGACUGCAUGGGUAAAUUAUUCAUUAUUAUAUUGUUAUACUGUGGAGGAACUGGGUUGCAUUAUUUCCGAAGACUAUGCAUUACUUAAAAAUGUUUGAAAGCCAUUUCUCUCAUCAUUACAAUUGUCACAUUAGUGAAAGAAAACAGUCAGCUUUCCAGGAACAUUUUAUUUAUUUAGAGCCUCUAAGAUUUCCCAAGAGAAUAUGUCAUAUAAUCAAAAAUGCUUGGCAUAAUAGAUUCUGCAACACUGCAUUACAUUCUGUGGAAAGUCAUUUAUGAAAAAAUGAGCUAUGCCCAUGUUAUACAAUGUCAUCUAGAUAUCACAAUAAAACAUAUGAUGACAGCAGGUAUUGGUCAUGGAAGUUUGAACUGUAUUUUGUUUGAUUGUUUUCACUGCUCAAUCUGAUGAAAUUAACAUACUAUGUAAAUCUGGCCAUCUGAGAACAGAGUUAAAAACUGUAAUUAUAGGAAUUAAAGAAAUAUUUCACCUUUAUAUAGAAUAUGGUGAACUGCAAAGUUAUAUUAAAAAUCUUUAAGGUUUGAAUUGCAUUUAAAUGUUCAAAACCUUUAAAAUAAAAAUAGGUCAUCUACUAAAA